CGCUAAUUCGACAGCGCUUACACGAGUUUCAAGUACUUCGGCUAUGUACAAUCUCCCUGGCGCGUUCGGCGGCGCGGCGCCGCGCGGCGUUGCCGUCAAGGAGACGUAAUUGGAAGUCGUGCAAGCCCGGUCGGGAGAGGAACGCGGAAUGGAAGCCACAAGGAGGCCGAGCGUUAUCAAUUCACCAUGCUGUUCGACGCGCGAAUGACUUCAAGUAGAGCGGAAAAAGCAACGAGAAAUCCAAGUUUCUCAGGACCACAGGAGAAUUUCAGUUGACACGCGGUUUCGUGACCUUCGACGAGGAACAUCAGAAUUCCCAUGGUGUUUUAUUCACGCACACACGCGGGCACACAACUUAGCAUCCUGUACGAAUGGCUAACGGUAGGCAAAUGAACGUUACUUGGCCAUUUUCCAAGGAAAUGCAACGUUUUGCCUUUUCACAGUGAAAUCGAGAAUUCACAUGUCGCGGAACGCAUUUUUUAUUUCACAGUGAUUUCGAAAUUUUUUAUAGUUACUUCUUCAAACAUCUUAAUGUUUAUCAUAUUCACUCGAAGAUCAAGACUCUUAAUUGACCUUCUCAAAUUUUUUGUUUUUAGUUUGUAAUUUGAAAAAGAAGCUGUACGAAGUUAAUUAACUUCGAAUUCGCUAAAGCGGUAUAAGAAAUUGCGGGAAACGUGAUAGACCGUUCUAAUCUACUUCCUUUGAAUUUGUUAAACUUGUUUGAAUUAUUGAUUAUACAAUUUUAAACUGC